rnacentral:rRNA from 1 species
CCAGCAGCCGCGGUAAUUCCAGCUCCAAUAGCGUAUAUUAAAGUUGUUGCAGUUAAAAAGCUCGUAGUUGGAUUUCUGGGAGGGUGCCAAUGUCCGUCAUGUACGUGCGCAGCGGCGCCCUUCCAUCCUUCUGUUAACGCUUCUCGGCAUUCAUUUGCUGGUGGCGGGCUCAGAUAUUUUACCUUGAGAAAAUUAGAGUGUUUCAGGCAGGCUAGGCCGGAAUACAUUAGCAUGGAAUAAUGGAAUAGGACUACGGUCUCUUUGUUGGUUUGAGGGACUAUAGUAAUGAUUAAUAGGGAUAGUUGGGGGCAUUAGUAUUUAAUUGUCAGAGGUGGAAUUCUCAG